AUUUCCUGGUUCACAAUGUUACUCUUACCACUCUUUGUUGUAAUCUCACGGUUCAACCUGUACUGCUUGGUCCCUGAAGUUAUUCAAAUUUGUGGUCUCUACCCACAAAUCAAACAUCAGUGUCAUAGCAUGCUUAUUAUUUGAGAUACAGUACCACUGGCUCAAGUGAAAUUUCUUACAUAUACAAAUAAAGUAUACAAAUAAAUCCAUCUUGAGCUUCUACCCCCAUGAGAUUUACCAGGUCUUCACAUGGUAUGGAUGCUAUUACUGACAAUUAUAAUUUCUCAAGAAGAAAAUGAUACGGGAAAAGUCUUGAAAGGCA
rnacentral:lncRNA from 1 species